rnacentral:rRNA from 1 species
UACGUAGGGUCCGAGCGUUGUCCGGAAUUACUGGGCGUAAAGAGCUCGUAGGUGGUUUGUCGCGUUGUUCGUGAAAACUCACAGCUUAACUGUGGGCGUGCGGGCGAUACGGGCAGACUCGAGUACUGCAGGGGAGACUGGAAUUCCUGGUGUAGCGGUGGAAUGCGCAGAUAUCAGGAGGAACACCGGUGGCGAAGGCGGGUCUCUGGGCAGUAACUGACGCUGAGGAGCGAAAGCGUGGGGAGCGAACAGG